rnacentral:pre_miRNA from 1 species
AGUGGAAUUGCUGGGUCAAAUGGUGGUUCCAUUUCAAAUUUUCCAAGGAAUCUCUAUACUGCUUUCUAGAUUGGCUGCAUCAAUUCACAGCCCCACCAGCAAU